UCCUUGCUAGCUCAGAUGGUAAAGCGUCUGCUUACAAUGCAGGAGACCUGGGAUCAGUCCCUGGGUCAGGAA
rnacentral:tRNA from 1 species